CCACCACGCCCGGCUAAUUUUUGUAUUUUUAGUAGAGAUGGGGUUUCACCAUGUUGGUCAGGCUGGUCUUGAACUCCUAACCUCAGGUGAUCCACCCACCUCGGCCUACCAAAAUGCUGGGAUUACAGGCAUGAGCCACUGCGCCCGGCCAGAUUGUGUGUAUUUAUUAUAGCCCUUUACUUCACCGUGCCACUGCCUGGUGUAGACAUCACAUAUCGGAGCUAAUACACGACACUGGCAACAAGGCUGAAUCCUUGAACUGUUGUCGCCUGUUGAGAAAGGAUUCCUUUUCCGGAACAGAAGUGCAGAGGAGGAGAGAGCGAAGAGUUAAAAGCUGGCACCCAGGCAUGUGCCUGUCUGAGAAAUCAGAGCCGUGCUCCUGAGCCUCGGUCGGGGUGAGGACGACAGGGCUGACCUCCCAGCUGCAAACACAAGGACACUGAGAUGCAAAGAAAGGAGAGUCCACGUUGAAGAAACCCACGUUGAGGGGCCUCUUCUCCCUCUGUUCCCGGCUCGGUGAUGGUGGAGGGUAAGGAAACGGAUCCUCCCUUUGCAACAUUAAACCAGGCCAAACCUGUAUUUUUCUCUUCCUUCCUUUUUCUUGUUUUGUAAUUGACGGCUCCUUAGGACUACCAAGAAUGUCCUAGAAGGAAUAAAAUCAAGUUUCCCAAGGCUUUGUGACUCAGAGCCCUUUGGAGGUGUUCACGGAACACACGGGCCGCCCGGAGGCCUUGGCCCUCCAGGGAAACACCACCAGAAGUCCCCAGAAGCAGAACAGGCAGCAAGGAGGCUCCCCGAGAUCUCCCAGAGGGAGCACAGCCCUGCCAAGGUAUUGGUUUUGGACUUCCGGCUUCCAGAGCUACGAGAAAAUAAGUAUUUGUUAUUUAAGCCAUCAGGUUUGUGGCGAUUGUUAUGGCAGCCUCAGGAAACUCCUACAAGGAAGUGAGUUACGCUCACAGCAGAAAGUGCUACAGCAAACCAAGGCGGAUCAAAAACAGAAGAAACCUAAUACAGACCGGAC
rnacentral:sRNA from 1 species